AGGAAAUUGCCAAAAAUAUUAUUUUAAAAGUAUCACUUUUCAUGUUUACACUAACUACUAUUACCCUCAUCUUUAAUGAAGGGUAAAAGACAAUUAACUUUGACAAAAAAAACAUAUGAUUAACUAAUCAAAACUUAAAACAUCAACUUUAAACCCUAAAUCAUCAAUUUUAAACCAUAAACUAUGAAACAUCAACUCUAAACCCUAAACCCCGAAACAUCAACUCUAAACCCUAAACCCUAAACCUUCAAAUCUAAACCCUAAAAUACCAAUUCUAAACCUUAAACGUAAAUCCUAAACCCUAAAUCUAAACUUAAAACAUCAACUUUAAACACUAAAUCAUCAACUCUAAACCCUAAACUAUGAAACAUCAACUCUAAACCCUAAACCCCGAAACAUCAACUCUAAACCCUAAACCCUAAACCUUCAAAUCUAAACCCUAAAACAUUAACUCAAAACCUAAAUGUAAACCCUAAACCCUAGAUUUUUCUGAAAUUCGAACCAUAAACCCUAAAACCCUAAACCUUCAAAUC
rnacentral:lncRNA from 1 species